AGCCGCCUAAAUGUCACCAUCUGAUUGGUCGUGCAUUUUUAACAAAAAAAGAAAGAAAGAAGGAGAGUUAAAUAUUUUUCUUUGCCCGAUAUUUUCGCUCUCUCUCUCGCGAUUUUCUUCAAAUUCUAAUUUCAUCAAGAUUUUGUUAAAAAAACGAGUUAGGGCUAUUACGUUCAUCGUAUAAUGCGUUAAGACUGAUUUGGGUUUGCUAAAGAUGGUUUUAUGGCUGCAAAUGUCUGAUGUUGCUGAGCGCCCACAAGAUGCUCGAUGAAAUGCCAAAGAGAGAGGAAAAGGAUGAAAGCUUUGAGAUGCAAGUGUGAAGAUUCAUUGGAGUUUAUGUGUUUAGUUUUUCUAGUGUGUGAGUUUUGAGAGUGUGGAGUAUGUCACGAUUUGAGAGCCAA